rnacentral:rRNA from 1 species
UACAGAGGUCUCAAGCGUUGUUCGGAUUCAUUGGGCGUAAAGGGGUGCGUAGGCGGUGCGGUAAGUCUCUUGUGAAAUCUCCGGGACUCAACUCGGAGCCCUGCAAGGGAAACUGCCGUGCUUGAGUAUGGGAGAGGUGAGUGGAAUUCCCGGUGUAGCGGUGAAAUGCGUAGAUAAUCGGGAGGAACACCUGUGGCGAAAGCGGCUCACUGGACCAUUACUGACGCUGAUGCACGAAAGCUAGGGGAGCAAACAGG